CUUUUCCUACGGGAGGCAGCAGUUAGGAAUAUUCGUCAAUGGGGGAAACCCUGAACGAGCAAUGCCGCGUGAACGAUGACGGUCCUCUGGAUUGUAAAGUUCUGUUGUUUGGGAAGAACGGCUCUAAUAGGAAAUGAUUAGAGAUUGACUGUACCAUUCAAGAAAGCCACGGCUAACUACGUGCCAGCAGCCGCGGUAAUACGGAGGAUUCAAGCGUUAUCCGGAUUUAUUGGGUUUAAAGGGUGCGUAGGCGGUCGGAUAAGUUAGAGGUGAAAUCCCGAGGCUCAACUUCGGAAUUGCCUCUG
rnacentral:rRNA from 1 species